GGCGCCGUGGCCAAGUGGUAAGGCAAGGGUCUGCAAAAUCCUCACCGCCGGUUCGAGUCCGGCCGGCGCCUCCA
rnacentral:tRNA from 1 species